GACGAACGCUGGCGGCGUGCUUAACACAUGCAAGUCGAACGGAGCACCCUUGAAUGAGACUUCGGUCAAAGGAAAGGAAUGCUUAGUGGCGGACUGGUGAGUAACGCGUGAGGAACCUGCCUUUCAGAGGGGGACAACAGUUGGAAACGACUGCUAAUACCGCAUGACGCAUUCGGAUGGCAUCAUCUGAAUGCCAAAGAUUUAUCGCUGAAAGAUGGCCUCGCGUCUGAUUAGAGAGUUGGCGGGGUAACGGCCCACCAAGGCGACGAUCAGUAGCCGGACUGAGAGGUGGACCGGCCAAAUUGGGAGUGAGAUACGGCCCAGACUCCUACGGGAGUCAGCAGGGGGGAAUAUUGGGCAAUGGGCGCAGGCCUGACCCAGCAACGCCGCGUGAAGGAAGAAGGCUUUCGGGUUGUAAACUUCUUUUAAGAGGGAAGAGCAGAAGACGGUACCUCUUGAAUAAGCCACGGCUAACUACGUGCCAGCAGCCGCCGUAA
rnacentral:rRNA from 1 species